rnacentral:rRNA from 1 species
ACCAGACUCCUACGGGAGGCAGCAGUGGGGGAUAUUGCACAAUGGGGGAAACCCUGAUGCAGCGACGCCGCGUGGGCGAAGAAGUAUUUCGGUAUGUAAAGCCCUAUCAGCAGGGAAGAAGAAAUGACGGUACCUGAGUAAGAAGCACCGACUAAAUACGUGCCAGCAGCCGCGGUAAUACGUAUGGUGCAAGCGUUAUCCGGAUUUACUGGGUGUAAAGGGGGCGCAGACGGCAGCGCAAGCCAGGAGUGAAAGCCCGGGGCCCAACCCCGGGACUGCUCUUGGAACUGCGCGGCUGGAGUGCAGGAGGGGCAGGCGGAAUUCCUGGUGUAGCGGUGAAAUGCGUAGAUAUCAGGAGGAACACCGGUGGCGAAGGCGGCCUGCUGGACUGCGACUGACGUUGAGGCCCGAAAGCGUGGGGAGCAAACAGGAUUAGAUACCCGGGUAUC